rnacentral:rRNA from 1 species
AUACGGAGGGUGCAAGCGUUAUUCGGAAUCACUGGGCGUAAAGGACGCGUAGGCGGUUGGCAAGUCAGAUGUGAAAUCCUACAGCUUAACUGUAGAACUGCAUUUGAAACUGCUAACCUAGAGUAUGGCAGGGGGAGAUGGAAUUAGUGGUGUAGGGGUAAAAUCCGUAGAUAUCGCUAGGAAUACCGAAAGCGAAGGCGAUCUCCUGGAACAUAACUGACGCUAAGGCGUGAAAGCGUGGGGAGCAAACAGGAUUAGAAACCCUAGUAGUCC